AGCGAACGCUGGCGGCAGGCUUAACACAUGCAAGUCGAGCGGGCACUUCGGUGUCAGCGGCAGACGGGUGAGUAACACGUGGGAACGUACCCUUCGGUUCGGAAUAACGCUGGGAAACUAGCGCUAAUACCGGAUACGCCCUUUUGGGGAAAGGUUUACUGCCGAAGGAUUGGCCCGCGUCUGAUUAGCUAGUUGGUGGGGUAAUGGCCUACCAAGGCGACGAUCAGUAGCUGGUCUGAGAGGAUGAUCAGCCACACUGGGACUGAGACACGGCCCAGACUCCUACGGGAGGCAGCAGUGGGGAAUAUUGGACAAUGGGCGCAAGCCUGAUCCAGCCAUGCCGCGUGAGUGAUGAAGGCCUUAGGGUUGUAAAGCUCUUUUGUCCGGGACGAUAAUGACGGUACCGGAAGAAUAAGCCCCGGCUAACUUCGU
rnacentral:rRNA from 1 species